UUUUGGAUGGACUCGCGGCCUAUCAGCUUGUUGGUGAGGUAAUGGCUCACCAAGGCGACGACGGGUAGCCGGCCUGAGAGGGUGACCGGCCACACUGGGACUGAGACACGGCCCAGACUCCUACGGGAGGCAGCAGUGGGGAAUAUUGCACAAUGGGCGCAAGCCUGAUGCAGCGACGCCGCGUGAGGGAUGACGGCCUUCGGGUUGUAAACCUCUUUCAGUAGGGAAGAAGCGAAAGUGACGGUACCUGCAGAAGAAGCGCCGGCUAACUACGUGCCAGCAGCCGCGGUAAUACGUAGGGCGCAAGCGUUAUCCGGAAUUAUUGGGCGUAAAGAGCUCGUAGGCGGUUUGUCGCGUCUGCCGUGAAAGUCCGGGGCUCAACUCCGGAUCUGCGGUGGGUACGGGCAGACUAGAGUGAUGUAGGGGAGACUGGAAUUCCUGGUGUAGCGGUGAAAUGCGCAGAUAUCAGGAGGAACACCGAUGGCGAAGGCAGGUCUCUGGGCAUUAACUGACGCUGAGGAGCGAAAGCAUGGGGAGCGAACAGGAUUAGAUACCCUGGUAGUCCAUGCCGUAAACGUUGGGCACUAGGUGUGGGGGACAUUCCACGUUUUCCGCGCCGUAGCUAACGCA
rnacentral:rRNA from 1 species